rnacentral:rRNA from 1 species
AGAGUUUGAUCCUGGCUCAGGACGAACGCUGGCGGCGUGCCUAAUACAUGCAAGUCGAACGCUUCUUUUCUACCGAGUGCUUGCACUCACUUGAAAAGAGGAGUGGCGGACGGGUGAGUAACACGUGGGUAACCUACCCAUCACAGGGGGAUAACACUUGGAAACAGGUGCUAAUGCCGCAUAAUAGCCGACAUCGCAUGGUGUUGAUUUGAAAGACGCUUUCGGGUGUCACUGAUGGAUGGACCCGCGGUGCAUUAGCUAGUUGGUGAGGUAACGGCUCACCAAGGCCAUGAUGCAUAGCCGACCUGAGAGGGUGAUCGGCCACACUGGGACUGAGACACGGGCCAGACUCCUACGGGAGGGGGGGGGGGGGAAAUCUUCGGCAAUGGACGAAAGUCUGACCGAACAACGCCGCGUGAGUGAAGAAGGUUUUCGGAUCAUAAAACUCUGUUGUUAGAGAAUAACAAGUACGAGAGUAACUGCUCUUACCUUGACGGUAUCUAACCAGAAAGCCACGGCUAACUACGUGCCAGCAGCCGCUGUAAUGCGUAAGUGGCAAGCGUUGUCCGGAUUUAUUGUGCGUAUAUCAAGCGCACGCGGUUUCUUAACUCUGAUGGUGAAAGCCCCCCGGCUCAAACCGGAGAGGGUCAAUGAAAACUGAUAGACUUUGAGUGCAGAAAAUGAUAGCGGGAAUUCCCUGUGUAGCGGUGAAAUGCCCUCUACUGUAUGGGAGGAACACCAGAGGGCGAAAGCGACUCCUACUGGUCUGUAAACUGACCGCUGAGGCUCCAAA